rnacentral:rRNA from 1 species
UACGGGGGGGGCAAGCGUUGUUCGGAAUUACUGGGCGUAAAGGGCUCGUAGGCGGCCAACUAAGUCAGACGUGAAAUCCCUCGGCUUAACCGGGGAACUGCGUCUGAUACUGGAUGGCUAGAGAUUGGGAGAGGGAUGCGGAAUUCCAGGUGUAGCGGUGAAAUGCGUAGAUAUCUGGAGGAACACCGGUGGCGAAGGCGGCGUCCGUGGACCAACACUGACACUGAGGAGCGAAAGGCCAGGGGAGCAAACGGGAGUUAGAAUGACC